GAUGAUUUAUUUGAUGCUGUACCGUAUCGCUGAAGCUAAACCACUUUGUUGCCUCUACAACUGCAGUCAAAUUGGGAUCUGGCAUUUUCUGAUAUUAUUACCGUUCGUAAUCACCGCCGCCAUGCACCACUUCCAACACGUUUCUAACGCGUGUACUAGUCGACAUAUCUGUCAUAGUGAUUUCAACAUCCUCCGUAUUAUCAUUGAGUUUGGAUUUCUCCAACUGCUUGCGAGGACGUUGUAUCUAAAAAUUAAAAACAAAAAACAAAUAUAUACAUAUAUACAAUGCAGUUUCUUAUUCUAAUAAAAAAAAACGUAUUUUAACAAGUACCCUAAAGACUGCACCCCAAACAUCGAAGAGGCCUUGUUGACGAUCCUUUUGCCCCAAAUUGGCGUUAAGUACAUCUUGCAGUGUCAACGCUUUUUUCUGAGCACUGGCAAUAAAUUAAAAAUAACAAAUAUUAACACGUGCAUACGAAAAACAAACAAUUUUAUAUUAUUUACUUGAAAAACUGCAACGUUGAAAUGCAGCAACGAACAUCAUUCCCUGACUUCUCCGACAUGGCAUACAAUGCACUAAAAUCAGUUUUUAAACGUUCUCUUUGCGAUAUCUGAAGUAACCUAAGAAAACCAAAAUAUUUGUAGUUAAUACGUUUCACAUUACUAAUUAAAAGUGUUUACCUUUCUGUUAA